UUGUAUAAUGGGUCACCGACUUACAUUCAGUAGCAAGCUUAACCGAUAGGGGAGGCGUAGCGAAAGCGAGUCCGAAUAGGGCGUCUAGUUGCUGGGUGUAGACCCGAAACCAAGUGAUCUAUCCAUGGCCAGGAUGAAGGUGCCGUAACAGGUACUGGAGGUCCGAACCCACAAAUGUUGAAAAAUUUGGGGAUGAGCUGUGGAUAGGGGUGAAAGGCUAAACAAACUUGGAAAUAGCUGGUUCUCUCCGAAAACUAUUUAGGUAGUGCCUCGUAUAUCAUUCUCGGGGGUAGAGCACUGUUAUGACUAGGGGGAUCAUAAGAUCUUACCAACUCAUUGCAAACUCCGAAUACUGAGAAAUGCAAUUACGGGAGACAGACCAUGGGUGCUAACGUCCGUGGUCAAGAGGGAAACAACCCAGACCGACAGCUAAGGUCCCAAAUGACGUGCUAAGUGGAAAACGAAGUGGGAAGGCAUAGACAGCCAGGAUGUUGGCUUAGAAGCAGCCAUCAUUUAAAGAAAGCGUAAUAGCUCACUGGUCGAGUCGUCCUGCGCGGAAGAUGUAACGGGGCUAAGCACGUAACCGAAGCUUCGGAUGCUGCACUAUUUAUAGUGUAUGCAUGGUAGGAGAGCGUUCUGUAGGCCUGCGAAGGUGUUCUGUGAGGAAUGCUGGAGGUAUCAGAAGUGCGAAUGCUGACAUGAGUAGCGAUAAAGGGAGUGAAAAGCUCCCUCGCCGAAAACCCAAGGUUUCCUGCGCAACGUUCAUCGGCGCAGGGUGAGUCGGCCCCUAAGGUGAGGCAGAGAUGCGUAGCUGAUGGGAAACAGGUUAAUAUUCCUGUACCUUUAUAUAAUGCGAUGUGGGGACGGAGAAGGUUAGGUCAGCCGGGUGUUGGAUGUCCCGGUUCAAGCGUGUAGGUUGGUUCUUUAGGCAAAUCCGGAGAGCUAAGACUGAGACGUGAUAACGAGUCUACUUGUAGACGAAGUGAUUGAUACCAUGCUUCCAAGAAAAGCCACUAAGCUUCAGUUGUAUAGAGACCGUACCGCAAACCGACACAGGUGGGUAGGAUGAGAAUUCUAAGGCGCUUGAGAGAACCCGGGAGAAGGAACUCGGCAAAUUAGCACCGUAACUUCGGGAGAAGGUGCGCCCCGGUAGAGUGUAGAGACUUGCUCUUGAAGCUCGAUGGGGUUGCAGUGAAAAGGUGGCUGCGACUGUUUAAUAAAAACACAGCACUCUGCAAACACGAAAGUGGACGUAUAGGGUGUGACGCCUGCCCGGUGCUGGAAGAUUAAAUGAUGGGGUGCAAGCUCUUGAUUGAAGUCCCAGUAAACGGCGGCCGUAACUAUAACGGUCCUAAGGUAGCGAAAUUCCUUGUCGGGUAAGUUCCGACCCGCACGAAUGGCGUAACGAUGUCCACACUGUCUCCUCUCGGGACUCAGCGAAGUUGAAAUGUUUGUGAAGAUGCAAUCUACCCGCGGUAAGACGGAAAGACCCCAUGAACCUUUACUAUAGCUUGACAGUGACAUUCGGAAUAGCUUGUGUAGGAUAGGUGGGAGACUUUGAAGCUGGCACGCCAGUGUCGGUGGAGUCGUCCUUGAAAUACCACCCUGGUUGUUUUGGAUGUCUAACCUAGGCCCGUCAUCCGGGUCGGGAACACUGUCUGGUGGGUAGUUUGACUGGGGCGGUCGCCUCCCAAAGAGUAACGGAGGCGCGCGAAGGUUCCCUCAGGCCGAUUGGAAACCGGCCGUAGAGUGCAAUGGCAUAAGGGAGCUUGACUGCGAGACCAACAAGUCGAGCAGGUACGAAAGUAGGUCAUAGUGAUCCGGCGGUUCUGUAUGGAAGGGCCGUCGCUCAACGGAUAAAAGGUACUCCGGGGAUAACAGGCUGAUCUCCCCCAAGAGUUCACAUCGACGGGGAGGUUUGGCACCUCGAUGUCGGCUCAUCGCAUCCUGGGGCUGAAGUAGGUCCCAAGGGUUUGGCUGUUCGCCAAUUAAAGCGGUACGCGAGCUGGGUUUAAAACGUCGUGAGACAGUUUGGUCCCUAUCUACCGUGGGCGCAGGAUACUUGAGAAGAGCUGUCCUUAGUACGAGAGGACCGGGAUGGACGUACCGCUAGUGUUCCAGUUGUGCCGCCAGGCGCAGUCGCUGGGUAGCCACGUACGGAAAGGAUAACCGCUGAAAGCAUCUAAGCGGGAAGCCUCCUUCAAGAUUAGUAUCCACUGGGUGUACAACACCCUGAAGGCCCGUUUAGACCA
rnacentral:rRNA from 1 species